rnacentral:rRNA from 1 species
AUUGAACGCUGGCGGCAGGCCUAACACAUGCAAGUCGAACGGUAGCAGGAAGAAGCUUGCUUCUUCGCUGACGAGUGGCGGACGGGUGAGUAAUGUCUGGGAAACUGCCUGAUGGAGGGGGAUAACUACUGGAAACGGUAGCUAAUACCGCAUAACGUCGCAAGACCAAAGAGGGGGACCUUCGGGCCUCUUGCCAUCGGAUGUGCCCAGAUGGGAUUAGCUUGUUGGUGGGGUAACGGCUCACCAAGGCGACGAUCCCUAGCUGGUCUGAGAGGAUGACCAGCCACACUGGAACUGAGACACGGUCCAGACUCCUACGGGAGGCAGCAGUGGGGAAUAUUGCACAAUGGGCGCAAGCCUGAUGCAGCCAUGCCGCGUGUAUGAAGAAGGCCUUCGGGUUGUAAAGUACUUUCAGCGGGGAGGAAGGGAGUAAAGUUAAUACCUUUGCUCAUUGGCGUUACCCGCAGAAGAAGCACCGGCUAACUCCGUG